UACAGAGGUGGCAAGCGUUGUUCGGAAUUACUGGGCGUAAAGGGCGCGUAGGCGGCCUUCUAAGUCAGACGUGAAAUCCCCAGGCUUAACUUGGGAACUGCGUCUGAUACUGGGAGGCUUGAGUGCGGGAGAGGGAUGUGGAAUUCCAGGUGUAGCGGUGAAAUGCGCAGAUAUCAGGAGGAACACCAAUGGCGAAGGCAGCUCGCUGGGACGUGACUGACGCUGAGACGCGAAAGCGUGGGGAGCAAACAGG
rnacentral:rRNA from 1 species